AUAAACGCUGGCGGCGUGCAUGAGACAUGCAAGUCGAACGAAGGAUCGGGCUUGCUCGAUCCUUAGUGGCGGACGGCUGAGUAACGCGUAGGUGACCUACCCCGAAGUGGGGAAUAACUGCCCGAAAGGGUGGCUAAUACCGCAUGUGGUCGCACGUUCAUUCGUGCGAGUAACGCCGCAAGGCGCUUCGGGAGGGGCCUGCGUCCGAUUAGCUCGUUGGUGGGGUAAUGGCUUACCAAGGCGACGAUCGGUAGGUGGUCUGAGAGGACGAUCACCCAGACUGGGACUGAGACACGGCCCAGACUCCUACGGGAGGCAGCAGUCGGGAAUUUUGCUCAAUGGGGGAAACCCUGAAGCAGCAACGCCGCGUGAGGGAUGAAGGCCUUCGGGUUGUAAACCUCUUUUGUCAGGGACGAUGAUGACGGUACCUGGCGAAUAAGCCACGGCUAACUACGUG
rnacentral:rRNA from 1 species